AGCAGCCGCGGUAAUUCCAGCUGCAAUAGCGUAUAUUAAAGUUGUUGCAGUUAAAAAGCUCGUAGUUGAAUUGCGGGAUCAAUACGUCGGUCGGGCUUUCGGGUACGUACUGGCGUCAGUUGGUUUCUCCUUUCGGACGAACCAUGAUGUCAUUAAUUUGGUGUUAUGGGGAGUUGGGACUGUUACUUUGAAAAAAUUAGAGUGUUUAAAGCAGGCGUUAGCUUGAAUACAUUAGCAUGGAAUAAUGAAAGAGGACGUUCGAUCCUAUUUUGUUGGGUUCUAGGAUCAACGUAAGGAUUAAUAGGGAUAGUUGGGGGCAUUAGUAUUCGACUGUCAGAGGUGAAAUUCUUGGAUUUAUUGAAGACUAGCUACUGCGAAAGCAUUUGCCAAGGAUGUUUGCAUUAGUCAGGAACGAAGGUGAGGGGAUCGAAGACGAUCAGAUACCGUCGUAGUCUUAACCAUAAACUAUGCCGACUAGGGAUCGGAUGAUGUUAGUUUUUUGAUGACUCA
rnacentral:rRNA from 1 species